UGACAUCCACCUUCACUUAUUUUCCCGUCCUGGUUCAUUCAGUUAUGGUACACUAAUGUGCUCUGAGCUGUGGUGGGCUGGGAAAGGCAGGAAGUAAGAGAGUGCCUUUGUCCUCAAGGGUGAUAGUAGAGAUAAUAAGGAUGGUAAUGACAAUAGCUCCCAUGCAUUGAAAGCUCUGUGCUAGGUUCUGUAGGGUUUUUGCUUUCUUAUUGAAUGAUCACAGUAGCCCUUUGUAAUAAGCAUUGUGACAUUCCCAUGUAGCAGAUAAGUCUCUAGGAGGUUGAGAAAUGUGCCCAAAGUUGGGUUCAGUUGUGUUAGUCUGUAUUCUGUUGGUGUAUACCAGAAUACUUGAAACUGGGUAAUUCAUACAUUUUCUACAGUUCUAGAGGCUGAGAAGUUCAAGGUGGAGGAGCCACAUCUGGUGAGAUCCUUUCUGCUCAGGGGAAGGGGAACUCUCUAAAGAGUGCAGUGCAGGGCAUCACAUGGUGGGCGGGGGGUGCCGAGCAUGCUAACAUGCUUGCUCCGGUCUCUCAUCCUCUUCUAAUGAAGCCACCAGUUCCACUCCCAUGAUAACCCAUUAAUCCAUUCAUCCAUGUGUAGUUUAAUCCAUUUAUGAGGGCAGAUCCCUCAUGAUCCAAUCACCUCUCAAAGGCCCUAACUUUCAAUACUGCCACAUUGGGGAUUAAGUUUCCAGGAAAGCUCAUGACAUUUGGGGGGCAUGUUCAAACCAUAGCAACGUCAUAUGUUGCUUAUCAGCAGGGAUAUGAUUUUGUUGUGUGAACAUCAUAGAAUGUACUUCCACACACCCAGAUGAUAUAGCUGACUUCACACCUAGGCUAUCUAGUGUAGCCUAUUGCUCUGAGUCUAUAAACCUGCACAGCAUGUUACUCUACUGAAUACUGUAGACAGUUGUAGCAUCAUGGUAAGUAUUUGUGUAUUUAUACACAGCUAAACAUAGAAAAUGUACAGUAAAAAUACAGUAUUAUAAUCUUAAGGGACCAGCAUCGUAUAUGUGGUCUGUCAUUGACUGAAAUGUUAUGCAGCACGUGACUGUACCAGCAAGUGGUGGAGCUGAGAUCUGAGCCAGGUCUGGCCUUUCCCAACCCAUGCUCUUUGCACACUGGGCUGCCCCUGAUCCGAGAGCCCCCGGCCAUUCCUGUCAUAUCUUCCUCACGUUUUUCCCCCCAGGGGUGUGGCCUCAAACUUGUUCCUGGAGUAUGCUCUGUGCUUCUAGAGGGAGGGCCCACUCUCUGACUGUUUGAGAUGAUUUAUCCCCUUGUUUACCACUGGAUUCCCAUUCCUCUUUUUGGCCCUCGGGGAGCCAAGUGCUGAUUCCUACCCAUGUCCUACAGCUUAACCCUGGCAUCAUCAUUUCCUCUUGCCCUGAUGUUCUCUGCUUACUCACCUGAUCAUUUGUGUGGUGAAUAUUUGUGGGUGCUUCCUCAAAUUCCCAGCAGGGAGGCAUACAGAACAGAACAGUCUACUGUGUGCCUU
rnacentral:lncRNA from 10 species